AUUAUGGUUAAUAUUAAAUUUGAAAUUUAAAAGGUAUCUUCUUAUUAUAUUGAACUC
rnacentral:tRNA from 1 species